rnacentral:rRNA from 1 species
AGAGCGAACGCUGGCGGCAUGCUUAACACAUGCAAGUCGCACGGGCAGGGGAAACCCUGUCAGUGGCGGACGGGUGAGUAACGCGUAGGUAUCUAUCCUUGGGUGGGGGAUAACGGUUGGAAACGACUGCUAAUACCGCAUGAUAACUGAGGUUUAAAGGCGCAAGUCGCCUGGGGAGGAGCCUGCGUACGAUUAGCUUGUUGGUGGGGUAAAGGCCUACCAAGGCGACGAUCGUUAGCUGGUCUGAGAGGAUGAUCAGCCACAUUGGGACUGAGACACGGCCCAAACUCCUACGGGAGGCAGCAGUGGGGAAUAUUGGACAAUGGGCGAAAGCCUGAUCCAGCAAUGCCGCGUGUGUGAAGAAGGUCUUCGGAUUGUAAAGCACUUUCGACAGGGACGAUGAUGACGGUACCUGUAGAAGAAGCCCGGCUAACUUCGUGCCAGCAGCCGC